CUUGCUUCCUAUUAAAAUCCUUUUCUCCUUCUCCUUAAUCUGUUGAGCCAUGCCUUGAAAAUGAAAGAUAUUAGUGAGGUUUUUAUCAGCUUUUGUACUUAAUUCAGUGCAGAAAUUGUACGUGGCAUGUAGGGAAGGGGAAGCAACCUGUUGUUUUAGGCAUUCUGCCAUCUCAUGCAGAUUUGUGGAAGGAGCUAAUGAAUGGGUGGUGUAAUAACAUUAAGCCAACGCCCAUCUAUUUUACAACCUUUGUCAGGCUUCCAAAGAUGAGAAUAGAAUUGAAAGCUCCCAAGGGCUUUCCAAAAAUUCAGCUCGGUGAGGGAAGUGUUCCCGGAGAUCUCUGGGUACUGUUACUGUGUGGACAGCCUGGGCAGGGAACUAGCAGACACAGGCCUGGAGCUGCUGCUUGAUGAAGUUUACGAGACGAUUUUCUCGGAGCCAGAGCCUGCCCGCACGUUCACAGAGAGCAGCAUCCAUCGGAUCCUGCAGAGGCGAUUCCUGGGGGUCCAGCUGGCUACCUCUGGCAAGUUCAGGUGUAAGUAGCACCCAGGAGAUGCCCUGUAAAUCAGGUGGCAGUUCUGGAACUUUUAUAUGACAGCUGCUGUUGGGGAGAGUUGUUCUAGGACUUUUUUGCUCUAAAAAUGUAUAAUGUCACAGUUCCAGUGCAGGAAUCAAGGUCCCUGAAUUGCAGAUGGCUUUUGUCCUCUGCACUGUACAGUCUUUACCAGCAGAUU
rnacentral:lncRNA from 1 species